rnacentral:rRNA from 1 species
AUUGAACGCUGGCGGCAUGCCUUACACAUGCGAGUCGAACGGCAGCACGGGUGCUUGCACCUGGUGGCGAGUGGCGAACGGGUGAGUAAUACAUCGGAACAUGUCCUGUAGUGGGGGAUAGCCCGGCGAAAGCCGGAUUAAUACCGCAUACGAUCUACGGAUGAAAGCGGGGGACCUUCGGGCCUCGCGCUAUAGGGUUGGCCGAUGGCUGAUUAGCUAGUUGGUGGGGUAAAGGCCUACCAAGGCGACGAUCAGUAGCUGGUCUGAGAGGACGACCAGCCACACUGGGACUGAGACACGGCCCAGACUCCUACGGGAGGCAGCAGUGGGGAAUUUUGGACAAUGGGCGAAAGCCUGAUCCAGCAAUGCCGCGUGUGUGAAGAAGGCCUUCGGGUUGUAAAGCACUUUUGUCCGGAAAGAAAUCCUUGGCCCUAAUACGGUCGGGGGGAUGACGGUACCGGAAGAAUAAGCACCGGCUAACUACGUG